GGUGUCUUAUGUGAAUUUGUGUGUUUUAAAAUAUGUCUAAUAUAGAUGAGUGUUUAAAAUGUGGUGUUGUGUUUAAAAUGUAGGGUUGUGUUUAAAAUGCGGGUUUGUGUAUUUAAAGUGUGUAUGUGAAAAAAUGCCGUAGUGCAAAAGCAAAAUGGCCGCGAAGAAGCAGCUUUAUCUUGCAAAGUGCAUCCGGAAACAAAACAGUUGUUUUUCCACCGGCUGAUCCUACGCUCCAUCAUGCACGACCCUCCAAGGUUUGGGAUCUGGAGUAACUCGCCAACUCUGGAACACACCUUCGAUGGAUCGCCUCCAACAUCGGAAAGGUAAGACGGGUACUAACAGCAUCCAAACGAAACAAAUCUAGCUCGAGAUAGUUUGAAGUUCGAGACACAAGUUAGUGGCGACUCGCAACGAUGUGUAGCUCAUAAAUUACCCACCAGAAGUCACAGCCACCGGUGCAAUGUAUUGAGAGGUGGGUUUUUAUUUUCAAAACACCUCAGCAUUCUAGCCGAUCUAGAAAUACAAAAUGUCUCCAGACGGAAGGAGUGUAGAGAUCGUGCCCGGUUGAUUAGUCAAAGCACGGGCACGCAAUCGUGGUAGAAUGCUUUUAAUUAUUUCAUUAAUUAAAUGUUUCCCCGCGCGUAAAUGGUGAGGCUGUUCUUGCCAGCGAGAACGCUGCUCGGGUGGUCCAUCGAUCGUUGACGAGAUCCCGAGGAAACACCUCUACUGUGUGAGCGGGAGUUGCAUUUUAACAGCCAAAAACCUUGAGGUUUGCGAUGCGACGCACUAAAACCAACAUUCGGUUAGCUUCUGAACACGCUGGCUGUUGGGUGGGUGGGCUUUUAUGUGGCUGGUGGGAUGUUGGUGUGUUUGUUAAACCGUGCGAUCACAAUCACAAAAACAGCCACGGUACCAUAAUUCCAAGCCAUAACUCGAUGUAAUUGAAGAUUGUCCACUCGAAAGAUCGGAUCGAAACCGAAACGAGCUUACUUUACGAGCUUUCACUUUAUAUCCGUUUGUGGGGAAGCAAAAAAAAUUGCAUCUCGUUAGGGGUUAGGGUAGCUUGGGUAAUAAAUUCUCGAAUUCUUCAGCAUACCGGCGAUUCAUGAUAAUUGCCAUAUUUAUGAUGAUUCGACAAUAAUCGUCCCGGUUCUUUGUUGCAGUUUUUUUUUGUUCUGCUCACAGCAUUAAUUUGACUCCUGCUGAGGUCCGGUCGUCGACCGAAUAAGGCACAAAUAAGUGUUCAAAUUUCAGCACCAUCACAAGCAGACAUACGGUGGAAGAUGCAUUCAUUUCUUUCAAAGUAUCUCACGAUCAGCGUUCUGCAUGCAGGCACACAGGUUUGUUGGAGGUUUUCGUCUAAAGUAAAGUUCAACUUUAAUUCUUCCCACCGAUGAGGUCGAUAUGUACAAUAAUUAAUGACAUCGGUUGUUAUGAUGUGUGGUGUGCAUGCCUCCGGAAUAUCUGGUGCGUUGAUUGAGUCGGGAUCGUGUGUGACAUCAGCUUCCACCAACAAGAUCAGUAACAAAAAAAUUCUCGCGUAGGAUUUCAACCAGAAUCUCUCCGUUUCACCAGAAGCCAAAGUACCAACAACAUCCAUUAGUGCGGCAACUGUGUCACGUAAUGAUGGCCCCAUCUGGGAUUUCUAUUUGAGUUUAGAUUUUCAACCUACUCGUUCCAAUACUCUGCCUGAGGGAGGCACAUUGUCAAAGCCGAAGCCAUCAUUAAUGCGACACGUUCACUUCACCGUUCUAAAUAAUCACACCACAAACCAACCUGUGGAGUCAUUUUUCAUCGCUACAAAAUCCAUCAAUUCCACGCCUAAAGGUUCUAUGGAUAAGAAACUAAAAAUAAAAAAGGAAACAGAUCCCAAUCGAUCAGAAUGUUGCUGUGGGGCACAAGCAUACAUCGUUGAGAGAUUGUUUUUAAUUUUAAUUACAGAUUUGAUACUCAUGAUGAGUACCACGUGGAGGAGAACUUCCUGGAAGAAGUGAUCAAUUUCAUAUGCUCUUAUCAAAACGCUCUACAUGACAUAUUCCAAUGAAAUUCAAUUAAAGUUACAGUUGAUACAUAGUUGCAUUAGUAGUGCCGUAAAAUUUGUGAGUUUGAAUUGAGCGCAUCUUCAUACGUUAUCCUCAGAGUAUCGGCUUUCCUGUUAUCCAUUCGUCCCAUUCUUUGAUUUCAUUAAGCUCGUUUUUCGGCCCUGAUUCAUUCACAUUCACCAUUGCGAGGCCAUUGCAAAACUUCCAUUCCGAUGACCGUUUCCUUGUGUUACCUCGUUUUUCCAUGCAAAACACACACACAGAUGUCGGUCGAAUGUUUGUGCUUAAAGUGGGAUGAAAUAUUUAAAUGCAAGCAUUUUAUUUUAAUAAUUAAUCAUGUUCCAUUAAUUUUCGGGUGACUGUGCUGGGCGCAAUGGCGCACUGCCUGCCUGUCAGUUCGGUCGGUGCCGAUGGUGGUCCUGUCUCAAUGUUUGGUGGCUUGUGUGGUGUGUUUGGCAUGGAAUUAAUGCUGUGACGCUGCUAUUUCCUCUUUAUCUCUCUCUCAGUUUGUGUCGGCGGUGAUAGUUUGGAGGAAAUAUUUUUGUUCGCAUUCUCAUUCAAAAUUGGAAAGGAUUGCUACAGGCAAAAGCAAGCGCUUUUGCGCUUAUUUCGUCGAAAGAAUUUUGUUUGAAAUCAGAAAUUGAAAUACCAAAUGUUAAUGUAGAAAUUUUGUGUAUUUAUUUUGCUGUUUGAAAAUAGUUCAUUAAUUUAAAUUUAUUAAAUUAAAUAAUUCUAAACACAGCUUUAUUAGGAGCUCCAAAAUGUGGAGGAGUUCCGGAUAGCAUUUUGUAUACUCAUAAUGUUCUACAUAUUAUGCUAAUUAAAUGCAUACGGAGGCCAUUUGAAUCGGGACCAACUAUCAUUCGAGGAACAGAACUGCAUGCCCUUGCCCUUUUCAGCGCUUAAGAGCAUACGAAAGGUGAAAACGUGUGCUCGAGUACCACUAGGCGGUGAGUGGUAGUUAGGCUAUAGUUGGUCGUUACCCAGAGAGCGAAACUGCGAAACACAUCGUGAAACAUGGACACUGUCAAAUCUAAUAAGCACCAUCAGCUAUCAGUACGGAAUGGGAGGAAAAACAGAGGAAAAAAGGGGGAAAAGCAAAGGCAUACAAAUGUACAUUUUUAAGGUGAGCAGCGCUUCUAGACAAGAGUGGUAACAAGCUCAUGAAUAGUGUGCUUUACCUUGCCUGCUGCCUUCGCGAG